rnacentral:rRNA from 1 species
AUGCCGUUGGAGUUGGUGUGUUGGAAUGUGCGUGGUCUAAAUAGUUCGGCGAGGAGAGAUGCUCUUAGAGAACUAGCGGACACGAUGAAGGUCGCUAUUUGGUGUAUAUUGGAGACUAAACUUGAACUUGUAGACCAGUUUGUGAUCAUGCAAUAUCUUGGGCCAUCUUAUGAUGGUUUUGCCUAUCUUCCUGCCUUGGCGACUCGGGGUGGUAUU